rnacentral:rRNA from 1 species
UACGUAGGGUGCGAGCGUUGUCCGGAAUUAUUGGGCGUAAAGGGCUCGUAGGCGGUCUGUCACGUCGGGAGUGAAAACACGGGGCUUAACCCCGUGCCUGCUUCCGAUACGGGCAGACUAGAGGUAUGCAGGGGAGAACGGAAUUCCUGGUGUAGCGGUGAAAUGCGCAGAUAUCAGGAGGAACACCGGUGGCGAAGGCGGUUCUCUGGGCAUUUCCUGACGCUGAGGCACGAAAGCCAGGGGAGCAAACGGG